GCGAAGAAGGAAACAAAACAGUAGAAGAAGAAAAAAAAGAGGAAGACGAAGUAACAAUAAUAAUGAAAGAAGACUCAACCUUAAAGUUUGCAAAUGGAGAAAACAUUCUGUCAGUGGAAGAAACAAUGUCUGAACAAAGUGGACCUGAGUAAGAAAGGCGUUGUGGAUGAAGAUGUGGUUGACAUCGUGUCACUGCUCAAUGGCUGCCAGGACUACUUCACUACCAGCUCCUGCUCAGGACGCAUUACAAUCAUGGACAGGGCCCCAGAUAGUGUUGUUGUCCAGAAGAAGAACCUCGUCUGGCUCUUGGUCGCACACACAAAAUGCACAUCGGAUGAAGUGAUGUCUGCGCUGACCCGCUCUUGUGGGAAUGCAGUGCUCAAGUUUGAGCCAUUUGUGAUGCAUGUUCAGUGUCGCACCCUGGAGGAUGCACACCUGCUGCUCUCAGCUGCUCUCCAGUCGGGCUUCAAAAACUCUGGUCUCACUGCAAGCAAGACGGGGAAGAUCAUCACGGCAGUCCGCUGUACCCACAGCCUGGAGGUUCCUCUCAGUGACCAAGGCAGGCUGCUGGUUUCCCAUGAAUAUAUUCAUUUCCUCACCCAGACGGCCAAUCAAAAGAUGGAGGACAAUUUAAAACGGAUUGAAAGGUUUUAUCAAACCAUCCGGACUACUUUAACAACUCAGGAGCAACAGAAAGUUCCGCAGGAUUCCGCCACACUUGCAUUACGACAACCCCCUUUCAUGGGUGUGGACAGGCGGGGACGGGACACAGAUGACAAGCUGGAGAAGGAAAGAAAUCAAGCGUGUGAACAAUGAAUGUCUGGAUUUGUUUUAAUGUCAUUUAAAGUGGAACUGCUCUUUGGGAUUGUGCCUGUCAUUCACAACCCUUAUGUAACACACCAGUAUUAGUCCUUUUUGUGCAUUCUAAAUCGUAAAAAACUGUUAGCAAGAGUAAUGAAGGUAACGGGGAUACGAUUUAAUCCAGGGGUGGGCAAUUAUUUUUUACCGGGGGCCGCAUGAGCAACCCGAGCACUGCUGGAGGGCCACAUCAACAAUAUUUCAAUUAAAUUUUGCUCAAUAUUAUUUUUGAUAUACCGAAAGAUAAAUAAUAAUUUAUACUAGAGAUGUCCAAUAAUAUCGGCCUGCCGAUAUCGACCGAUAAAUGCGUUAAAAUGUAAUAUCGGAAAUUAUCGGUAUCAUUUUUUUAAUUAUUGGUAUCGUUUUUUUAAACCUCCCUCCCCCAUUUACACUCAUUCACACAAAAGGGUUGUUUCUUUCUGUUAUUAAUAUUCUGCUUCCUACAUUAUAUAUCAAUAUAUAUCAAUACAGUCUGCAAGGGAUACAGUCCGUAAGCACACAUGAUUGUGCGUGCUGCUGGUCCACUAAUAGUACUAACCUUUAACAGUUAAUUUUACUCAUUUUCAUUAAUUACUAGUUUCUAUGUAACUGUUUUACUUUAUUUUUUAUUCAAGAAAAUGUUGUUUUAUUUAUCUUAUUUUAUUAAUUUAUUAAUUAAAGUACCUUAUCUUCACCAUACCUGGUUGUCCAAAUUAGGCAUAAUAAUGUGUCAAUUCCACGACUGUAUAUAUCGGUUGAUAUCGGUAUCGGUUGAUAUCGGUAAUUAAAGAGUUGGACAAUAUCGGAUAUCGGCAAAAAGCCAUUAUCGGACAUCCCUACUUUAUACAAAAGCAGAUUGCUUUUGAUGGUUUUAUUUUUAACACUGUCUUACACAACCCUUCCUGAUGUAUAAUACAAUGCAAAAAUGUCCAUUUCUACACAGGGUUAAUUUUUGUCACAUUAUCCUGCAUCCUCUUUAAAAGUCCCAACAUUUUUCCCCGUCAGAUUUGGACAACCAUCUGUUGUCACACCUGCCAGCUUGUCCCAUUUCAGUCCUAACAUGUCCAAACACGCACUUACCUAUGUGAACAAGUCAUUACCUGUGGUUGUCUCUUUUAAUUGACUGCAUAGCUGCCAGCUCCUCUGUGAUUUGAAAGUCUGCAGUUAUCCCACGUAAGAAGAUGAGCAGCUGGGCGGUGUCACGUACAUUGCAGCUUUCAUCCAAAGCCAGCGAAAAACAGUCAAAGUCGGCCGUUCUGUUCUUCAGCUGAAGCUCCAAGUUUCCAGCGAUGGUCUCAACCCGCCUCGUUACAGUGCGUCGGGAGAGUGACACGUUCUCAAAUGUGCCCCUCUUCUCCGGGCAUAUCAGCGCAACAGUCGCUGUGCACCUUCACUCACAGGUUACACACGGACAUAUAUGUCAAUGAAUAACACUUUUCAAAAUAAAAGCAGCAGUUGUGUUGCGC